AUUGAACGCUGGCGGCAGGCCUACCACAUGCAAGUCGAGCGGAGCGGCGGACGGGUGAGUAAUGCCUAUGAAUCUGCCUGGUAGCGGGGGAUAACGUCAGGUAACGGGCGCUAAUACCGCAUACUAUCAGAUGAGCCUAGGUCGGAUUAGCUAGUUGGUGGGGUAAUGGCAUACCCAGGCGACGAUCCGUAACUGGUCUGAGUGGAUGAUCAGUCACACUGGAACUGAGACACGGUCCAGACUCCUACGGGAGGCAGCAGUGGGGAAUAUUGGACAAUGGGCGAAAGCCUGAUCCAGCCAUGCCGCGUGUGUGAAGAAGGUCUUCGGAUUGUAAAGCACUUUAAGUUGGGAGGCGUUACCAACAGAAUAAGCACCGGCUAACUUCGUGCCAGCAGCCGCGGUAAUAC
rnacentral:rRNA from 1 species